rnacentral:rRNA from 1 species
CGAAACCAGGUGAUCUACCCUUGGUCAGGUUGAAGUUCAGGUAACACUGAAUGGAGGACCGAACCGACUUACGUUGAAAAGUGAGCGGAUGAACUGAGGGUAGCGGAGAAAUUCCAAUCGAACCUGGAGAUAGCUGGUUCUCUCCGAAAUAGCUUUAGGGCUAGCCUCAAGUGAUGAUUAUUGGAGGUAGAGCACUGUUUGGACGAGGGGCCCCUCUCGGGUUACCGAAUUCAGACAAACUCCGAAUGCCAAUUAAUUUAACUUGGGAGUCAGAACAUGGGUGAUAAGGUCCGUGUUCGAAAGGGAAACAGCCCAGACCACCAGCUAAGGUCCCAAAAUAUAUGUUAAGUGGAAAAGGAUGUGGCGUUGCCCAGACAACUAGGAUGUUGGCUUAGAAGCAGCCAUCAUUUAAAGAGUGCGUAAUAGCUCACUAGUCGAGUGACACUGCGCCGAAAAUGUACCGGGGCUAAACAUAUUACCGAAGCUGUGGAUUGUCCUUUGGACAAUGGUAGGAGAGCGUUCUAAGGGCGUUGAAGCAUGAUCGUAAGGACAUGUGGAGCGCUUAGAAGUGAGAAUGCCGGUGUGAGUAGCGAAAGACGGGUGAGAAUCCCGUCCACCGAUUGACUAAGGUUUCCAGAGGAAGGCUCGUCCGCUCUGGGUUAGU